AGUGAACGCUGGCGGUAGGCCUAACACAUGCAAGUCGAACGGCGGCACAGUAGGAGCUUGCUCUUACGGGUGGCGAGUGGCGGACGGGUGAGGAAUACAUCGGAAUCUACUUUUUCGUGGGGGAUAACGUAGGGAAACUUACGCUAAUACCGCAUACGACCUACGGGUGAAAGCAGGGGAUCUUCGGACCUUGCGCGAUUGAAUGAGCCGAUGUCGGAUUAGCUAGUUGGCGGGGUAAAGGCCCACCAAGGCGACGAUCCGUAGCUGGUCUGAGAGGAUGACCAGCCACCGUGGAACAGAGACACGGCCCAGCCUCCUCGGGGAGGAAGCGGGGGGGAUUAUUGAACAAGGGCCGCAGGCCUGACCCAGCCAUCCCGGGGGGUGGAAGAGGGCCUUCGGGUUAAAACCCCUUUUUGUGGGAAAAAAAAACAAGAGGGUUAACCCCCCGUUUUUCUGAGGUCACCAAAAAAAAAACCCCCGCAAACCUUCGUC
rnacentral:rRNA from 1 species